rnacentral:lncRNA from 1 species
AGAUCUGAAGGUGAACUUCAAAUCCUUCUGUCUCUCAUUCUUCAGGGACCUGCAGGCUAAUAAGCCAAUUUCUUCUCAUGACCAUGACAAGCAAAAUAGGACAAGCUCAACUGCACAUAUACAUUUCAAGCCUCAGCUGCUAAUAUUCCACUGGCCAAGGCCAAAGGCAAGAAGACAGAAUGAAAGUAUCAACUUUGGAGUUGAACAAAUGGAAUUUCAUGUUUUAGUUUUCAGCCACUUACAAGCUUCAGUUUCCUGUUCCUGAGUUCCCUCCACAGGUAAGAUUAUGAUGGCAGUUACCGCCUUUUAGUAUUGUUAAGAGUGCUACAAAAUGAUGUGAAAUGCAAAACACAGUGACUGCCGUGUAAUAGGCACUCCAUAAAGGACAUGAUUAUGCCUGCUACCCAGAAACUUUGAACUACUCUCUUGAAACUCAUUUUGAAUCCUAGGUGUAGUGCUUUUAUCCUUUGACAGAGAUACUGGCUUUUUAAACAGUCAGAGGUACUUCUAAGAAAUAUCUGGUAAAUAAGAGGGCAAUUAAGGUAGGCGAUACCUGAGGUUGUCUUCUUUCUGAAACUAAAAAGUAUAAUUGUAAAGUAGAAGCUCAUUUUUGUGUUAGUGUAUGUUGGAGGAGGUCAUGGAGAGGACGUGACUGCCAGUUGAUCCUCAAGUUGGGCCCGGCUGAUGGGAGGCUCCGCACCCCUCCUUUGUCCUUGCAAUAUACUUUCCGCCCAGAGUUUCCACAGUGAGAGCCUUCUUCAAGGGCACAGCCUUGAGAGAGCCCUGUGUUGCUGAGACCAGCUGGACAGUAUACGUGACUGAACCCAGUUAAAGCCUCUAUAUAAACUUUGAGAUUCUGUCUGGGGGGUUCGGCGAGAUCUACUUAUUUUAUGGCUGCAAAAACAAGGGUCAUAAGUAAGUUUUCUUGCUUAUUAAACCUGCCACCUACCCAUCUGGAAGUCUGCCUCUUUCUUCAGGCUCUCCUUGCCCUCUGUAUACAGGGGUCAGU